GACGAACGCUGGCGGCGUGCUUAACACAUGCAAGUCGAACGAAGAGCGAUGGAAGCUUGCUUCUAUCAUUCUUAGUGGCGAACGGGUGAGUAAUGCGUAAUCAACCUGCCCUUCAGAGGGGGACAACAGUUGGAAACGACUUCUAAUACCCCAUACGACCUAACCUCGGCAUCGAGGACAGCUGAAAGGCGGCCUCUAUGUUUAACCCAUCACUGAAGGCGGGGUUUGCGUCUGAUUAGCUAGCUGGAGGGGUAACGGCCCACCAAGGAGAUGAACAGUAGCCGGUCAGAAAAGAAGAACGAGCACAGUGGGACUGAGACACGGCCCAGACAACUACGGGAGGGAGCAGGGGGGAAUCAUCCGAAAUGGACGGAAGGCAGAAGGAAGAACGCCGCGUGAGUGAUAAAGGGCUUCGGGUUGGAAAAGUAGGUUAAUCGGGGCGAAAGGGAUUCUAGCGAAUAGUGAGAAGGAUUGACGGUACCGGAAUAGAAAGCAACGGCUAACUACGUG
rnacentral:rRNA from 1 species